rnacentral:rRNA from 1 species
CAGCGCGAACGCUGGCGGCGUGCCUAACACAUGCAAGUCGUGCGCAGGCUUAUCUGUCCUCUGGGCAGAUGGGUGCUGAGCGGCAAACGGGUGAGUAACACGUGCCUAACCUGCCCCCAGGAAGGGGAUAACCCUCCGAAAGGGGGGCUAAUACCCUAUAAAGCCGGGGGCCACUAAGGCUACUCGGCCAAAGGGGGCCUCUGGUCUCUGACCAUGCUCCCGCCUGGGGAUGGGGGCGCGGCCCAUCAGUAGUCGGUGGGGUAACGGCCUACCAAGCC